AGCCUUCUGUAUCCGUGCCGAGAUUUCGUCAGCAAUCAACCUGUUGGGACUGAUGCAACUUCUUAAAUAAGGGAAGUG
rnacentral:pre_miRNA from 1 species